rnacentral:lncRNA from 1 species
GUUGACGGCUCAUAUCCCCGACCUGUUAAUAAUAUGGCUGAACAAAGGCUAUGGGACAGAUGCAAUAACAUGGUGAUUUCUUGGUUAACUGCUUCCCUGUCCCCUCAAAUUGAUGAUAAUGUACAAUAUUCUGAUACUGCAUAAAGCAUAUGGUCACAAAUUGAGAACAGAUAUGGCACUGCCAACAGGACCAAAAUUUUUGAGUUAAAAAGAGAACUCUCUCACACAUCUCAAGGCUUUUUAGAUGUGGCCUCAUAUUUUAAUAAACUCAAGGGUCUGUGGGAUGAGUUGGGCACAAUGUGCACAAAUCAUGGGCAGAGAUGUGUGUGUGCUGCUAAGAAUGGAAUAAUUCAGGAAGAUGAUGAGAACAGGGUAUUCCAGUUUCUCAUGGGGUUAAAUGAAGCAUACAUGGAUGUGUGCUGCUAAGAAUGGGAUAAUUCAGGAAGAUGAUGAGAACAGGGUAUUCCAAUUUCUCAUGGGGUUAAAUGAAGCAUACAUGGGGGUUAGGAGUAACUUGUUAAUGAUGCAGCCCUUUCCUUACCUUGACAGUGUUUACAAUAUAGUGCUUAAUGAUGAGAAACAAAGACAAGUACCAUCUAUUUCUCAAUUCAGUCCAGACCCAUGUCUUUCAAUGCUAAUGCAAAUAAGCACUCAACUGGGUUU